rnacentral:rRNA from 1 species
UACGUAGGGGGCUAGCGUUGUCCGGAAUCAUUGGGCGUAAAGCGCGUGUAGGCGGCCCGGUAAGUCCGCUGUGAAAGUCGGGGGCUCAACCCUCGAAUGCCGGUGGAUACUGUCGGGCUAGAGUACGGAAGAGGCGAGUGGAAUUCCUGGUGUAGCGGUGAAAUGCGCAGAUAUCAGGAGGAACACCAAUUGCGAAGGCAGCUCGCUGGGACGUUACUGACGCUGAGACGCGAAAGCUGGGGGAGCAAACGGG